rnacentral:misc_RNA from 1 species
GAUGAAGAACGUAGCAAAAUGUGAUAAGUAAUGUGAAUUGCAGAAUUCAGUGAAUCAUCGAAUCUUUGAACGCACAUUGCGCCCGCCAGUAUUCUGGCGGGCAUGCCUGUUCGAGCGUCAUUUCAACCCUCAAGCACAGCUUGGUGUUGGGACUCGCAUUAAUUCGCGUUCCCCAAAUUGAUUGGCGGUCACGUCGAGCUUCCAUAGCGUAGUAGUAAAACCCUCGUUACUGGUAAUCGUCGCGGCCACGCCGUUAAACCCCAACUUCUGAAUGUUGACCUCGGAUCAGGUAGGAAUACCCGCUGAACUUAAGCAUAUCAAUAAGCGGAGGA